rnacentral:rRNA from 1 species
AUUGAACGCUGGCGGCAGGCUUAACACAUGCAAGUCGAGCGAGCGGCGGACGGGUGAGUAAGGUAUGGGGACUGCCCGAUAGAGGGGGCUAACUACUGGAAACGGUGGCUAAUAACGCAUACUAUCGGAUAACCCAUAUGGGAUUAGCUAGUAGGUGGGGGAAAGGCUCACAUAGGCGACGAUAUCUAGCUGGUCUGAGAGGAUGAUCAGCAAUACUGGGACUGUGGCCCGGCCCAAGCUCCUACGGAGGCAGCGGGGGGGAGUAUUGCAAAAUGGGCGAAAGCCUGCUGCAGCCAGGCCGCGUGUAUGAAGCGGUCCUUAGGGUUGUAAAGUACUUUCAGCGGGGAGGCGUUACCCGCAGAAGAAGCACUGGCUAACUCCGUGCCAGCAGCCGCGGUAAUUC